rnacentral:piRNA from 1 species
AAUUCUGGACAGAGAGAAGCAAUCACGCCACC